rnacentral:rRNA from 1 species
GACGAACGCUGGCGGCGUGCCUAAUACAUGCGAGUAGAACGCACAGUUUAUACCGUAGCUUGCUACACCAUAGACUGUGAGUUGCGAACGGGUGAGUAACGCGUAGGUAACCUGCCUGGUAGCGGGGGAUAACUAUUGGAAACGAUAGCUAAUACCGCAUAAUAUUGAUUAUUGCAUGAUAAUUGAUUGAAAGAUGCUAUUGCAUCACUACCAGAUGGACCUGCGUUGUAUUAGCUAGUAGGUGAGGUAACGGCUCACCUAGGCGAAGAUACAUAGCCGAACUGGGAAGGUGGUCGGCCACAAUGGGACUGAGACACGGCCCAGACUCCUACGGGAGGCAGCAGUAGGGAAUCUUCGGCAAUGGACGAAAGUCUGACCGAGCAACGCCGCGUGAGUGAAGAAGGUUUUCGGAUCGUAAAGCUCUGUUGUAAGAGAAGAACGGGUGUGAGAGUGGAAAGUUCACACUGUGACGGUAUCUUACCAGAAAGGGACGGCUAACUACGUG